CAGCAGCCGCGGUAAUACGAAGGGUGCAAGCGUUACUCGGAAUUACUGGGCGUAAAGCGUGCGUAGGCGGUGAGUUAAGUCUGCUGUGAAAUCCCCGGGCUCAACCUGGGAAUGGCAGUGGAUACUGGCUCGCUAGAGUGUGUCAGAGGAUGGUGGAAUUCCCGGUGUAGCGGUGAAAUGCGUAGAGAUCGGGAGGAACAUCAGUGGCGAAGGCGGCCAUCUGGGACAACACUGACGCUGAGGCACGAAAGCGUGGGGAGCAAACAGGAUUAGAUACCCCCGUAGUCCCUGUCUCUUAUAC
rnacentral:rRNA from 1 species